rnacentral:rRNA from 1 species
AGUGAACGCUGGCGGUAGGCCUAACACAUGCAAGUCGAACGGCAGCACAGUAAGAGCUUGCUCUUACGGGUGGCGAGUGGCGGACGGGUGAGGAAUACAUCGGAAUCUACUUUUUCGUGGGGGAUAAUGUAGGGAAACUUACGCUAAUACCGCAUACGACCUACGGGUGAAAGCAGGGGAUCUUCGGACCUUGCGCGAUUGAAUGAGCCGAUGUCGGUUUAGCUAGUUGGCGGGGUAAAGGCCCACCAAGGCGACGAUCCGUAGCUGGUCUGAGAGGAUGAUCAGCCACACUGGAACUGAGACACGGUCCAGACUCCUACGGGAGGCAGCAGUGGGGAAUAUUGGACAAUGGGCGCAAGCCUGAUCCAGCCAUACCGCGUGGGUGAAGAAGGCCUUCGGGUUGUAAAGCCCUUUUGUUGGGAAAGAAAAGCAGCAGGUUAAUACCCCGCUGUUCUGACGGUACCCAAAGAAUAAGCACCGGCUAACUUCGUG